rnacentral:rRNA from 1 species
CCGGCCGUAAACGAUGGAUGCCAGGUGUGUGUGCAGCGAUGCAUGCGUGCCGCAGUCAACGCGUUAAGCAUCCCGCCUGGGGAGUACGAUCGCAAGAUUGAAACUCAAAGGAAUUGACGGGGGCCCGCACAAGCGGUGGAGCACGUGGUUUAAUUCGAUGCAAACCGAAGAACCUUACCCGGGUUUGACAUGUACGUAUUACUGAGAUGAAAGUCGAAGGAGUCAUUCGUAAGAGUGACAGCGUGCACAGGUGC